UACGUAGGGCGCAAGCGUUGUCCGGAAUUAUUGGGCGUAAAGAGCGUGUAGGCGGCUUGGUAGGUCCGCUGUGAAAACUCGAGGCUCAACCUCGAGAUGUCGGCGGAAACCACUUGGCUAGAGUCCGGAAGAGGAGAGUGGAAUUCCUGGUGUAGCGGUGAAAUGCGCAGAUAUCAGGAAGAACACCUAUGGCGAAGGCAGCUCUCUGGGACGGUACUGACGCUGAGACGCGAAAGCGUGGGGAGCGAACAGG
rnacentral:rRNA from 1 species